CCACAAUAAUGGGAUGCGUGUCUUUGGAGUGGAAUGGAGCAACUGCAAAGAGCAGAUGGUACCAGCCAUGGCCCUGUCUAGACCCAUCCCCAAGCUCGCUCGACAAAUAUCAAAAGAUAACUCUCAAGAAGGAGGAGGACAUUUUAUGAGUUACCUUGACACUGAAGGCAUCCUUGAGAUCAGCUCCUCAAGUAUGGAACCCAA